UACGUAGGGUCCGAGCGUUGUCCGGAAUUACUGGGCGUAAAGAGCUCGUAGGUGGUUUGUCGCGUUGUUCGUGAAAACUCACAGCUCAACUGUGGGCGUGCGGGCGAUACGGGCAGACUUGAGUACUGCAGGGGAGACUGGAAUUCCUGGUGUAGCGGUGGAAUGCGCAGAUAUCAGGAGGAACACCGGUGGCGAAGGCGGGUCUCUGGGCAGUAACUGACGCUGGAGGAGCGGAAAGCGUGGGGAGCGAACGGGAUUGAGAUACC
rnacentral:rRNA from 1 species